GGGUCUGUGGCUCUGUGGAAGAGCCUCUGCUUUCCAUGCAGAAGGUCCCAGGUUCAAUCCCUGGCAUGUCCA